UGUGACCGGAAAAGGGAGCUGAGUUUACCUUACGCAUCUUCUUUUUUUUUUAACUUCCUAACUGCUGAGAGGACUCUUGAUUAGUCUCCUACAUGGCGGCUAACAGCGAUUUCCUCUUAACAUUUCAAGAAUUUGACAGUUCUGAGAGCCAUUUGGGAGGGAACGGAGAUGCGACUACCAUCAGUAUCGAGGACACAGGGGCAGGAAGUCACAAACCUCAGAAACAGAGGAGAUCUGCACCGGUGACAUCCUUCGAAGAGGACAAUGACCCAUUGGCCAAUGACGACAAGACUGAGCUGUUGUCUGGGCAGAAGAGAAGUGCUCCUUUCUGGACCUUUGAAUAUUAUCAGAGGUUCUUUGACGUAGAGACACACCAGGUGAGAGAGAGAAUCCUGGGUUCGUUAUUGCCAUGGCCAGGGAAGAACUUUGUCCAUCUCUACAUCCGCAACAACCCUGAUCUUUAUGGUCCCUUCUGGAUAUGUGCUACUCUGGUUUUUGUCAUCGCCAUCUGUGGAAACAUCUCUGACUUCCUGGUUCACCUGGGGCAACCGCAGUAUAAAUAUGUCCCAGAGUUCCGGAAAGUGACCAUUGCGGCCACGGCGAUCUACAGCUAUGCGUGGCUGGUUCCCCUGGCCCUGUGGGGUCUGCUGGUCUGGAGAAACUCCAAGGUUAUGAACACAGUUUCUUACUCAUUCCUGGAGAUGGUGUGUGUCUACGGAUACUCCCUGGCCGUCUACAUACCUGCUGUGGUGUUGUGGAUCAUCCCGCACGAGGCCGUCAGGUGGUUUUCCAUUGUUGUGGCUCUCUGUCUCUCUGGUUCCGUCCUGGUGUUGACCUUCUGGCCCGCCGUCCGUGACGACCGGCCCCGGGUUGUCAUAGCGAUCAUGACGGCCAUCGUGGCGCUCCACAUCCUCUUGGCGUUCGGUUGUAAGGCUUACUUCUUCAGUACGUUGGAGGCUGUGGUGGAACCAAGUCAUAAUGGAACCAAGUCAUCUCCAACCACCGGGAUGCACAGAACUAAUACAAUGUCCUGAGGUAAAUGGUGGACCAUGGAAGUAAUACAAUGUCCUGAGGUAAAUGGUGGACCAUGGAAGUAAUACAAUGUCCUGAGGUAAAUGGUGGACCAUGGAAGUAAUACAAUGUCCUGAGGUAAAUGGUGGACCAUGGAAGUAAUACAAUGUCCUGAGGUAAAUGGUGGACCAUGGAAGUAAUACAAUGUCCUGAGGUAAAUGGUGGACCAUGGAAGUAAUACAAUGUCCUGAGGUAAAUGGUGGACCAUGGAAGUAAUACAAUGUCCUGAGGUAAAUGGUGGGCCAUGGAAGUAAUACAAUGUCCUGAGGUAAAUGGUGGGCCAUGGAAGUAAUACAAUGUCCUGAGGUAAAUGGUGGGCCAUGGAAGUAAUACAAUGUCCUGAGGUAAAUGGUGGGCCAUGGAACCAAGUCAUCUCCAACCACCGAGAUGCACAGAACUAAUACAAUGUCCUGAGGUAGGAUCAAGUUGCCGUGGCGAUGGUGUCGUGGUGUCGUCUUGGUUACCGACCUGCUGCACCGACCUUGCCCGGGUGGUUCUUCCUGUUAAAGCCCUUAAAGACACAGUAAUGUGUUACAGCACGACACACACACACACACACACACACCUGGAUUGUAUUCAUUUGGUACCAAACGGAAGAAAAUGGACUGAAACAAUAAUAAAUGCAUAUUUUGCGUUUUCCGUUGCAAAGGGUUUUAAAAUGUUUUUCAUGUGUAUGUACUAAUGAAUACGACCCUGGUUCGAAGACCUGGGUUAUUUACCAAAUGGCACCCUAUUCCCUAUGUAGUGCACUGCUUUUGACCAGGACCCCUAUAAUGUAGGGUGAUAUUUGGAACACCCCCGCCCCCCCGCGCUGACUUCUGGAAACGGACACUGGUGGUGGCCACAUGAUGUUAUUUGUAAUGGGAUGGUGUCUACACUCUCUGCCUUAACUAUAUAGAACUAUAACUAAACAUGAGGUGUGUUACUGGGUAGAUCCCUUCCUUCCUGUUUACCUAGUCAUAGUUUUACUGUUAUAUAUAUAUAUAUAUAUAUAUACACAUACAACUUGAUAUUGAUAAGACACUGUUCACAAAAAAAUGUCAUUUGAAAGACGCUUCUUUUGUAUUAAAAUGUUUUCCAUUG